rnacentral:rRNA from 1 species
ACACUGGUACUGAGACACGGACCAGACUCCUACGGGAGGCAGCAGUGAGGAAUAUUGGACAAUGGGCGCAAGCCUGAUCCAGCCAUGCCGCGUGCAGGAUGACGGUCCUAUGGAUUGUAAACUGCUUUUAUACGAGAAGAAACACUGCUACGUGUAGCAGCUUGACGGUAUCGUAAGAAUAAGGAUCGGCUAACUCCGUGCCAGCAGCCGCGGUAAUACGGAGGAUCCAAGCGUUAUCCGGAAUCAUUGGGUUUAAAGGGUCCGUAGGCGGUUUAAUAAGUCAGUGGUGAAAGCCCAUCGCUCAACGGUGGAACGGCCAUUGAUACUGUUAGACUUGAAUUAUUAGGAAGUAACUAGAAUAUGUAGUGUAGCGGUGAAAUGCUUAGAGAUUACAUGGAAUACCAAUUGCGAAGGCAGGUUACUACUAAUGGAUUGACGCUGAUGGACGAAAGCGUGGGUAGCGAACAGGAUUAGAUACCCUGGUAGUCCACGCCGUAAACGAUGGAUACUAGCUGUUGGAAGCAAUUU